rnacentral:tRNA from 1 species
GCCGGUGUGUUGGAAUGGCAGACGAGGCGGACUCAAAAUCCGUUGCCAGAGAUGGCGUGUGGGUUCAAGUCCCACCACCGGCACCA